UAAGGAAUCUUCCGCAAUGGGGGCAACCCUGACGGAGCGACGCCGCGUGGAUGAAGAAGCCUUUCGGGGUGUAAAAUCCUUUUCCCAGGGAGGAGACGGACCGUACCUGGGGAAGAAGUCACGGCUAACUACGUGCCAGCAGCCGCGGUAAUACGUAGGUGACGAGCGUUGUCCGGAAUUACUGGGUGUAAAGCGCGUGUAGGUGGCACUCCAAGUCUGACGUGAAAUCGCCCGGCUCAACUGGGCGGGGUCGUUGGAAACUGGGGGGCUGGAGGACGGUAGAGGCAGGUGGAAUUCCCGGUGUAGUGGUGAAAUGCGUAGAGAUCGGGAGGAACACCCGUGGCGAAGGCGGCCUGCUGGGCCGGUCCUGACACUGAGACGCGAAGGCGUGGGGAGCGAACGG
rnacentral:rRNA from 1 species